AUUGAACGCUGGCGGCGGGCCUAACACAUGCAAGUCGAACGAGUGGCGGACGGGUGAGUAAUGUCUGGGAAACUGCCUGAUGGAGGGGGCUAACUACUGGAAACGAUAGCUAAUACCGCAUACUGUGAGAUGGACCUGCGUUGUAUUAGCUAGUUGGUGAGGUAAAGGCUCACCAAGGCGACGAGACAUAGCCGACCUGAGAGGAUGAUCAGCCACACUGGAACUGAGACACGGUCCAGACUCCUACGGGAGGCAGCAGUGGGGAAUAUUGCACAAUGGGCGCAAGCCUGAUGCAGCCAUGCCGCGUGUAUGAAGAAGGUUUUCGGGUUGUAAAGUACUUUCAGCGGGGAGGCGUUACCCGCAGAAGAAGCAACGGCUAACUCCGUGCCAGCAGCCGCGGUAAUAC
rnacentral:rRNA from 1 species